rnacentral:tRNA from 1 species
GAGUAUGGCUCAGUGGUAGAGUGCCUGCCUAGUAUGUGUGAGGCCCUGGGUUCGAUCCCAAGAACCA